rnacentral:rRNA from 1 species
GGCCUAACACAUGCAAGUCGAACGAACCCUUCGGGGUUAGUGGCGCACGGGUGCGUAACGCGUGGGAAUCUGCCCUUAGGUACGGAAUAACUCAGGGAAACUUGUGCUAAUACCGUAUGAUGUCUUCGGACCAAAGAUUUAUCGCCUAGGGAUGAGCCCGCGUUGGAUUAGCUAGUUGGUGAGGUAAAGGCUCACCAAGGCGACGAUCCAUAGCUGGUCUGAGAGGAUGAUCAGCCACACUGGGACUGAGACACGGCCCAGACUCCUACGGGAGGCAGCAGUGGGGAAUAUUGGACAAUGGGCGAAAGCCUGAUCCAGCAAUGCCGCGUGAGUGAUGAAGGCCUUAGGGUUGUAAAGCUCUUUUACCCGGGAAGAUAAUGACUGUACCGGGAGAAUAAGCCCCGGCUAACUCCGUGCCAGCAGCCGCGGUAAUACGGAGGGGGCUAGCGU